UACGGGGGGGGUAAGCGUUGUUCGGAAUUACUGGGCGUAAAGGGCUCGUAGGCGGCCAACUAAGUCAGACGUGAAAUCCCUCAGCUUAACUGGGGAACUGCGUCUGAUACUGGAUGGCUUGGAUUCGGGAGAGGAAUGCGGAAUUCCAGGUGUAGCGGUGAAAUGCGUAGAUAUCUGGAGGAACACCGGUGGCGAAGGCGGCAUUCUGGACCGAUAUUGACGCUGAGGAGCGAAAGCGUGGGGAGCGAACAGG
rnacentral:rRNA from 1 species